rnacentral:misc_RNA from 1 species
CAGAGUUCAUGCCCUUACGGGUAGAUCUCCCACCCUGUGUUAUUAUCACUUUGUUGCUUUGGCGGGCCGUCAGGCUCACGCCCGACCACCGGCCCCGGCUGGUGAGCGCCCGCCAGAGGACCCAAAACCCUGAUUAUUAGUGUCGUCUGAGUACUAUAUAAUAGUUA